rfam:Salmo salar isolate Sally breed double haploid chromosome ssa22, whole genome shotgun sequence.
UCCCGUGUGGCUCAGUUGGUAGAGCAUGGUGUUUGCAACACCAGGGUUGUGGGUUCGAUUCCCACAGGGGAC